rnacentral:lncRNA from 1 species
UUCUUCCAAUUUUAGGAUCUACUUAGUUGGCUGGGAGAAAAUAACCAAACCCAAAAAGCUAGGUGGUCUCGAAAUCAGGAAGGCUAGAGAGGCUAACACAUCUCUGCUGGGCAGAUUAGUUUGGAGGUUACAUCAAAAUUGUGAUUCUUUAUGGGUGAAGGUUUUAACUCACAAGUAUUUUCAUGCAGACAAGCUUCUCACUGUUACCAGGAAAUCAGGAUCAGUCACUUGGAAUGCUAUUAUGAAAGCUAGGUUUACUCUUAGG